CGGAAUUAACAGCUGGCGGUUGCUGCGCAUGCGCGGAUCCGCCAUACAGAGGAAAUAGCCGGGGAGUAGGUAGCUGCCUGAGAACGAGAGAGCGAAUACCACGGAUACAGCUGGUUUCUCUUCAAACAAUUAUGACCGUCUUUCCGUUGUCGCUUUCUCUCAGGUAUCUGUCUCCCGGUCGCUGAAUGGCGCUGGUUACCGUGCAGCGCUCGCCGACCCCCAGCACCAGUUCCAGCCCCUGUGUUUCGGAGUCUGGCAGUGGGGAGGAUGACCGGCGCUCUCAGCCUAGGAGGACAAUGACCCAACACACCUCCAGGCUGUGUAAGGGCUAUUUGACCAAUGAGCGUGAUGGAGUACUGCAUCAGAUAGCCUGGCCUCCACAAUCACCUGACCUCAACCCAAGUGAGAUGGUUUGGGUUGGGUUGAGUUGGACCGCGGAGUGAAGGAAAAGCAGCCAACAAGUGCUCGGCAUAUGUGGGAACUCCUUCAAGACUGUUGGAAAAGCAUUCCAAGUAAAGCUGUCAUCAAGUGGCUACUUAGAAGAAUCUCAAAUAUAAAAUCUAUUUUGACACCACUUUUUUUUUGGUUACUACAUGAUUCCAUAUGUGUUAUUUCAUAGUUUCAAUGUCUUCAAUAUUAUUCUACAAUGUAGAUAAUAGUAAAAAUAAAGAAACCCUUGAAUGAGUAGGUGUCAAUACUUUUUACUGAUACUGUACAUCAACUAAUUCUAGCCAGAGCAAGAUGAGCUG
ensembl:lncRNA